GCCCUUCAGCAGCCGCGGUAAUACGUAUGUUCCAAGCGUUAUCCGGAUUUAUUGGGCGUAAAGCGAGCGCAGACGGUUAUUUAAGUCUGAAGUGAAAGCCCUCAGCUCAACUGAGGAAUUGCUUUGGAAACUGGAUGACUUGAGUGCAGUAGAGGAAAGUGGAACUCCAUGUGUAGCGGUGAAAUGCGUAGAUAUAUGGAAGAACACCAGUGGCGAAGGCGGCUUUCUGGACUGUAACUGACGUUGAGGCUCGAAAGUGUGGGUAGCAAACAGGAUUAGAUACCCUGGUAGUCCACACCGUAAACGAUGAGUGCUAGAUGUUCGAGGGUUUCCGCCCUUGAGUGUCGCAGCUAACGCAUUAAGCACUCCGCCUGGGGAGUACGACCGCAAGGUUGAAACUCAAAGGAAUUGACGGAAGGGC
rnacentral:rRNA from 1 species